ACCUCGGAUCAGGUAGGGAUACCCGCUGAACUUAAGCAUAUCAAAAGGCGGAGGAA
rnacentral:rRNA from 1 species